rnacentral:lncRNA from 1 species
CCAUCUCCUCAACUCGCAUCGUAACUAUUUGAAGCUUUUCUACUUGCUAACUUGUAGAAUUAUCUUUGUUGUCUCUAUGAUAACUACUUUAUGAUUGAUUUUUCAAGUUUUCAGUUUUUCUGCUACCAUUUUUUACACAAUUGGUGACCUAUCUGUAGGCAGACCAGGCUACCAAGUUCCAUGUCUACAACGUCCAGAAAAUGAAUAACUAUUUGAAGCUUUUCUACUUGCUGACUUGUAGAAUUAUCUUUGUUGUCUCUGUGAUAACUACUUUAUGAUUGAUUUUUCAAGUUUUCAGUUUUUCUGCUACCAUUUUUUACACAAUUGGUGACCUAUCUGUAGGCAGACCAGGCUACCAAGAUCCAUGUCUACGGCGUCCAGAAAAUGAAUAACUAUUUGAAGCUUUUCUACUUGCUGACUUGUAGAAUUAUCUUUGUUGUCUCUGUGAUAACUGCUUUAUGAUUGAUUUUUCAAGUUUUCAGUUUUUUUACUACCAUUUUUUACACAAUUGGUGACCUAUCUGUAGGCAGACCAGGCUACCAAGUUCCAUGUCUACAACGUCCAGAAAAUGAAUAACUGUUUGAAG